rnacentral:lncRNA from 10 species
CAUGGGUGUGGAUCCAUCAUGAAUAAAUUAAUGCCUUUGCUGUUGGUGGGGGCAGGGAGCAUGGUACAGGGGUGACUGAGUUCCUGCUUUGUUAGUUCCCACUGAAACUGAUUGACAAAAAGGGCCUGGCACCUCUCUCUUCUCUCUCUUUCUCUCUCUCACCAUGUGAUCUAUGCAUGCCUGUUCCCGUCUGCUUGCACUAAGAAUGGAAACAGCCUAAGUUCCUCACCAGAAGCAGAGGCUGGCACCAUGUUUGUUAUGCAGCCUGCAGAACCAGAAAUCAUGGGAAAAACUGCCCAUUUCUGUUUUGUCCACUUUGCUUUGGGAAGUGAGAGCUAUAGUCAUUAUCACCACAUCCCCUGGCAUCCAAUUCCGUAGUGAGACGAGCAUGAGUGGAGCAGGAGACGGCUGUCCCCCACCCACAAGGAAUAUCAGAUGAUGGUUCAGCGAUCAUCACAUUGCCUCUCUGAAAGUGAUAAAUUGGCAGCUGGCACCAGGGAGAGGCUAUUUCCUGAUGGCCCACACCUGUUGCACUAAGAUGUUAAUCGAAUGCAGAUUCCAGGGAGAAACAACUUCCUGGGCAUGUGCGUAAGAGACAAAAUGGCAGGUAUGACCUUCUGGGGACACUCCACCAGAAAAGGGAAGAAAACCUCAGAUGGGCAUGCAUAUAACUUCCUAAACACACUGCUCACACUCUCCUCCCAAGGGUAAGGAGGGCACUGCACAUGCAGGCAGCCCAUCCUAAGGGAAGCAUCCUGGGAAAGGGGUCAGUCUAUAUGGUUCUGGGAUCAAGAUUAAACACCACAUUAGACCUUCAAGUUGCCCACUUGGGUCUCUUCUAUGUGUAUUUUUCUUUCCUUUCUUUUCUGCUCUAAAGCUUUUUUAAAUAAACAUACACAUCCCUCCUCUGAAACUUGCCUUGGUCUCUUUUUCUGCCAUAUGCAACUCAGUCAAAUUAUUUCUUCUGAGGAGGAAAAAAUUGAGGUAGCUGCAUUCCCAUACAGAUUCACCAUCGGUAACUCAGAUACCUUCUACUGGCCAUAUGUUUGGUGUUCUAUUCAAGAAAUAAUUGCUAAAGCCAAUGUCUUAAAGUGUUUUUCUUAUGUUUUUCUUCUAAGAGUUUUACAGUUUCAGGUCUUACACUUAAGUAUUUAAUUAAUUUGAGUUGAUUUUAUGCAUGGUGUAGGAUGUGUGUAAUAUUCAGUUUUUCUAACACUAUUUGUUGAAGAGACUAUUCUUUUUCCACUGUGUAUCCUUAGAAGCAUUGCUGAAGUGUUGUUG